rnacentral:rRNA from 1 species
UACGUAGGGUGCGAGCGUUAAUCGGAAUUACUGGGCGUAAAGCGUGCGCAGGCGGUUCGACAAGUCCGAUCUGAAAGCCCCGGGCUCAACCUGGGAAUGGCAUUGGAAACUGGCGAGCUUGAGUGUGGCAGAGGGGGGUGGAAUUCCGCGUGUAGCAGUGAAAUGCGUAGAGAUGCGGAGGAACACCGAUGGCGAAGGCAGCCCCCUGGGCUGACACUGACGCUCAGGCACGAAAGCGUGGGGAGCAAACAGG